ACGGUCGCGGGGGCGGAGAGAAACCGUCAAUGAGGAAAGUCCGAGCUUUUUAGAAACAGGGUGCCGGAGAAAUCCCGGUGAAGGCGACUUUAAGGAAAGUGCAACAGAAAUAAACCGCCGUUUUUUAGCGGUAAGGAUGGAAAGGCGGUGUAAGAGACCACCGACCUUGCGGUAACGCAAGGUGCCAUGUAAACCCCACCCGAAGCAAGAUUGAAAAACCGUUUCAUUAGGGAGUUUCACCGAAGCGGUUUAGGUAAUAUCGCUAGGGGAUAACGGAGACGUUAUUCGUAGAUAAAUGACCGUACACGACAGAACUCGGCUUAUCGAUUAACUU
rnacentral:RNase_P_RNA from 1 species